rnacentral:rRNA from 1 species
UACGUAGGGUGCAAGCGUUAAUCGGAAUUACUGGGCGUAAAGCGUGCGCAGGCGGUUAUGCAAGACAGAGGUGAAAUCCCCGGGCUCAACCUGGGAACUGCCUUUGUGACUGCAUAGCUAGAGUACGGUAGAGGGGGAUGGAAUUCCGCGUGUAGCAGUAAAAUGCGUAGAUAUGCGGAGGAACACCGAUGGCGAAGGCAAUCCCCUGGACCUGUACUGACGCUCAUGCACGAAAGCGUGGGGAGCAAAC